ACUUUGUGCUUGACGGGUUUAUAACAUGAUGAUAGUAGUAUGUGAUGGUCAUCUCCAUGCUCUAUUAUGUCUCAUAAGUUGUUGUGUUGAUACCAUUUGUUCCACAGAUUUGGUGCUAAAUUUAACAUUUUUUUACCACUGGAGAAUUGAUAAAAAUGAUCAAUAAUCCCUC